rnacentral:lncRNA from 1 species
UCAUUUUCGCACAUUCAGGCCAACGAGAGUAUAUCCCUUAUUAUUCUUUAUCCUUAAAAACAACAUAAAAAUAAUUCCCAUAUAAUGAAAAUUCACUAAUAAUACAAAAGGAACAAAAAAGAGAGAAAGAGAAAGUAUAGAACGAUCUGCCAUGGAGAAUGAACAAUUAACUCCCAGAAAGAACAACAAUGGAAGAAGAAAAGUAAAUAAAGAAGGAAAAGUCUUGGGGAGCCAUUGGGAUUGGACAAGCAACGAAGGAAAUAAAAGG